CGCCCUUCCAGAGGGGACGAACAGUUGGAAACGACUGCUAAUACCGCAUACGAUCCAAUCUCGGCAUCGAGACUGGAUGAAAGGUGGCCUCUAUUUAUAAGCUAUCACUGAAGGAGGGGAUUGCGUCUGAUUAGCUAGUUGGAGGGGUAACGGCCCACCAAGGCGAUGAUCAGUAGCCGGUCUGAGAGGAUGAACGGCCACAUUGGGACUGAGACACGGCCCAG
rnacentral:rRNA from 1 species